rnacentral:rRNA from 1 species
AUGGAUCACCCGCCACAUCUCGACAUCGACCUCAACGAGCCGCCCCCGCCGUCGCCGGCGCCGCCAGCGGGUCUCCAGUCGCCCCCGCGCGAGUUUGCUGCCCCCAUCCCCAUUGUUGCUCCUCCGCCGCCGCUGCAGCCGCCGCCACCACCGCUGCAGCCGCCUCCCGCCAACGUGCAGGCCCAGCUGCUGCUCCCGCACCAGGCCCGCGAGCUAGCGCUGGCGUACAACCGUGCGGAAUCGUGGAGGUUAGCUGCUGCUACAGCCAGUGCGGCCGCGACCACCGCAGGUUCAUGGCUGGAUGUGCCGCCACCGCCGCCGGUUCUCCAAUCGCCCAGUUUUGCUCCUCCGCCGCUGCCGCCGACGCCGUGGCCACCACAGCUCCCACCUCCCGCUAACGUGCAGGCUCAGCUGCUGCUCGCGCACCAAGCCCGCGGCAUAGCGCUGGCGCACCAGCGUGGGGAAUGGUGGAGGUCGGCCAUUGCGGCCGCGCCCGCAGGUUCGUCGGUGGAGGUGCCGCCUCCAGCGCUAGCGCAGCACCCGGGAAUAGCGGGGUGGGGCGGGAACCCGUGCGCGUUCUGCGGCCUCCCCGAGUUGCCCGGAUCCACCGUAAUUUGUGACGCCUGCGAACGCGGGUUCCAUGGAUCCUGCGUCCACGCCCUGCGUCCUCCGCCGGCCCUGCACACCCCUGGCGUGCGGGUGCCGCGGCCUCCGGUGGCCGUGAACGAGGACUGGAUGUGCCCGGAAUGUGCCGUCACCGUCCCAGACAUCACCAGGCAGUUAUAUGCACUUGCUGUCAACACAGCAUAUGAACCUGCUGCGCUAGUCGAUCGCGAGACGCCACAGAACGUACGCCAUGAUACCGAGCCCCGCCGUCUCAGCCCGUGUAGAUCCUCCUGCCGCGGUACCGAUGGAUGCACCAUGCCAUCAUCGAGUACACGAGCCCGGCGAUCACCUAGUUUAUAUAUUCCUCCAGCAACCGACCCACCCUGA